rnacentral:rRNA from 1 species
GUUUGAUCAUGGCUCAGAUUGAACGCUGGCGGCAGGCUUAACACAUGCAAGUCGAGCGGGGGAAGGUAGCUUGCUACUGGACCUAGCGGCGGACGGGUGAGUAAUGCUUAGGAAUCUGCCUAUUAGUGGGGGACAACAUCUCGAAAGGGAUGCUAAUACCGCAUACGUCCUACGGGAGAAAGCAGGGGAUCUUCGGACCUUGCGCUAAUAGAUGAGCCUAAGUCGGAUUAGCUAGUUGGUGGGGUAAAGGCCUACCAAGGCGACGAUCUGUAGCGGGUCUGAGAGGAUGAUCCGCCACACUGGGACUGAGACACGGCCCAGACUCCUACGGGAGGCAGCAGUGGGGAAUAUUGGACAAUGGGGGGAACCCUGAUCCAGCCAUGCCGCGUGUGUGAAGAAGGCCUUAUGGUUGUAAAGCACUUUAAGCGAGGAGGAGGCUACUUUAGUUAAUACCUAGAGAUAGUGGACGUUACUCGCAGAAUAAGCACCGGCUAACUCUGUGCCAGCAGCCGCGGUAAUACAGAGGGUGCGAGCGUUAAUCGGAUUUACUGGGCGUAAAGCGUGCGUAGGCGGCUUAUUAAGUCGGAUGUGAAAUCCCCGAGCUUAACUUGGGAAUUGCAUUCGAUACUGGUGAGCUAGAGUAUGGGAGAGGAUGGUAGAAUUCCAGGUGUAGCGGUGAAAUGCGUAGAGAUCUGGAGGAAUACCGAUGGCGAAGGCAGCCAUCUGGCCUAAUACUGACGCUGAGGUACGAAAGCAUGGGGAGCAAACAGGAUUAGAUACCCUGGUAGUCCAUGCCGUAAACGAUGUCUACUAGCCGUUGGGGCCUUUGAGGCUUUAGUGGCGCAGCUAACGCGAUAAGUAGACCGCCUGGGGAGUACGGUCGCAAGACUAAAACUCAAAUGAAUUGACGGGGGCCCGCACAAGCGGUGGAGCAUGUGGUUUAAUUCGAUGCAACGCGAAGAACCUUACCUGGCCUUGACAUACUAGAAACUUUCCAGAGAUGGAUUGGUGCCUUCGGGAAUCUAGAUACAGGUGCUGCAUGGCUGUCGUCAGCUCGUGUCGUGAGAUGUUGGGUUAAGUCCCGCAACGAGCGCAACCCUUUUCCUUACUUGCCAGCAUUUCGGAUGGGAACUUUAAGGAUACUGCCAGUGACAAACUGGAGGAAGGCGGGGACGACGUCAAGUCAUCAUG